UGGAAAGACACCAUUCCCCAGAGCAUCUUUAAGGCUUGCCCUUGCAGGGAGAGUCAGGCCAUCAGGCCCUUUUGGAAGUUACAGGUCCCCCAGUGACAUCAGCUAUAAAUAAUCAACAUACCCAUGAGGCACAUUUUGUCUUAACUCCUUCAAAACCCAAGUCAGAUAUAGCUCUUCUGCUACCAUUUCAUUCUGAAAAACACCCAACUCCUCACCAUUGCCUACAUGCCCCCUCUUUGAUCUUGGGCCCUGUCUACUAUUCAGCAUUCAUGUGCCAUUCUGUCACUCACAGGCUGCAGUGACACUCAUCUCCUUGCCUGAUUCGAACUUUCCAAGGAAAUUCCCAUCUGGGGCCUCUGCACUUACUGCCUCAGCCCCUCUUUCCUACCCCAGGUAUUCGCUUGCCCAGCCCCAUUUUUCUUUUAGUUUCUUCUCUGUUGACAUUUUAUCAGAGACUCUAUGUCCCAGAGACCGACAGCACCCUUCUCCUGCUAUCUGUCCUUUCACCCUGCUUCACUGCAGCCGAUGCCACCCGAGACAUUGUGUAUUGAUGUCUAUGUUUGUUCAUCUCUUCCUGGCUAGCCUGUAAGCCCUGUGUGGGCAGGAAUAUUGGUGGUUUUGUUUUCUGUUUUGUGUACAACACUUAGAAUAAGCACUCACCAAAUGCUUGGUGGCAGAAUGAAAUGGCCAAAUUAAUAUUUUCAAACCAAGUUGGACAUGGUGGUGCACACCUGUAAUCCCAGCACUGGGAGGCUGAGGCAGGAGGAUCACAAGUAUGAGGCCAGCCUCAGCAACUUAGUGAGGCCCUAAGCAACAUAGUAAGGCCCUGUCUCAAAAAAUAAAAAGGGCUGGGGAAGUGGCUUAGUGGCAGAGCACCGAGGAUUCAAUCGCAGUACCAAA
rnacentral:lncRNA from 1 species